UCCGCAGGAUGCAAACGUUGUACGGUUUUUUUGGUUUUAAAGGGUGCGUAGGCGCCUUAUUAAGUUAGUGGUGAAAACGUGCGGUUUAACCGGAUACCCGCCAUUGAUACUGAUAGACUUGAGUGCGACAGAGGGUGUUGGAAUGUGUGGUGUAGCGGUGAAAUGCUUAGAUAUCACGCAGAACACCAAUUGCGAAGGCAGAUGCCUAUGUCGUAACUGACGCUGAGGCACGAAAGCGUGGGGAGGAAACAGG
rnacentral:rRNA from 1 species